GACGAACGCUGGCGGCGCGCUUAACACAUGCAAGUCGAACGGAAAGGCCUGCGUUCCCUUGUGGAUUGCGGGUACUCGAGUGGCGAACGGGUGAGUAACACGUGAGUGAUCUGCCCCCAACUUGGGUAUAAGCCUGGGAAACUGGGUCUAAUUCCCGAUAGGACUUCAGGGUGGUGCCUUUUGUUGAAAACGAUUUUCUAGUGGUUGGGGAUGAGCUCGCGGCCUAUCAGCUUGUUGGUGGGGUAAUGUUCUACCAAGGCGGCGACGGGUAGCCGGCGUGAGAGGCAGGAGGUGGACAGUGAGACUGAGAUACGACACAGACGCCGACGCGCGGCCGCAGCGGGGACGAUAGCAAGAUGUGGGGAAGCCUGCUGCAGCGACGAAGGGCGGGCGAUGACGGGCUUCGGGUUGUAAACUCCUUUCGACAGCGAGGAAGCCACCUGGCUGGAAGGGUGGUGACGGUAGUGGUAGAAGAAGCACCGGCUAACUACGUG
rnacentral:rRNA from 1 species